AGAAAAUACACAGACGGAGUGCUGACGCAAUUGUUUUUUUUUUUUUUUCUUUUAUGUAAAGUGCCCCUCUAAUCUCUCUAACAUAAAAAACGAAAGAAUACAAUUGCGCCAGCGCUCCGUCAGUGUAUUUU
rnacentral:pre_miRNA from 1 species